UAAGAAGUAACGUUUUGUUCACGACCCAGGGUAAGAUCCACCCGCAAAUCGACAGUAGCUAGCCACGCACCUUAGCCUGCAAGAACAUGUUAAUUAAUAUGUUAGCUUUGAUCCCUUGAUUAUGUAAGUUGUUGUUAAGAUCUUCCUGCUUUGAGUGUGAAAAUAAGAUUAGUGUUUGUGCGCUAAAGUUUGAUGGACAUUGACAAGUUCUCAAUUCUUUUAAGUAGUCAUCAGAGUAGUGAAACGGAAGGAUACAUUUACUUACGAAGGGAAGUGAUGGUUUCAAGUAAAUAAGUAAGUGAGAAAUUCUGUAGACGGAUAACCGUUGUUUAUGUAGCAUUGUGUGGUCGCGGGAGUACACAGAGUUGCAAGUAAAUGUAAAGUAAGCGUGUUCAUAUGAAAAGAAAUCACCGUUGAGAAUUCAAGGACGAAUUCUAUUUAAGUGGGGGAGAAUUGUAACAACCCCCUCCCAUAUUAUUGGGUGAAUUUGUUUUGACAUAAUGAUACAAGCCCAAUAAAGUCCAAUAGCUUCCUAAACAACUAGGGUUUGGUGUUUGUAUGUGGUCAUAUAUGUGUAGAAGCGUAAACAUCUCCCUCUUCAUUAGAAACGCCGUCAAGAGAAGAAUAGAGAGAGAGACAUAGAUAGACACAGAGAGAGAGAGAGAGAAAAGAGAAUUAUGGCAAAGGCAACGUGAUCACCACCGGAGCUUCACGUAGUCACCGUCGUUCACUUCCCCCACCGGAGCCGAGAUCCAUGGCACUAGUUUGUUUGGGUAAGAAAAUCCUGACAUAAUUGUGUCUUCUUCGUCUACAAACCCUUGUUUUGAUAUGUUGGAUCCUUAUAUUAAAUCUGAGUUUUAUUAUGAAGAAGAAGAAGAGAAAACUGUGGCAAGUAAGGGUUUUGUGGAUUGAUUUCCCGUUGAAGCUAAAAGAGUUAUAUUGAUAUAUUGACUUCUCUGAAUCGAUCUCGUUGCAAGGAAGCCAUAGCAAUUGACGGUUUAUCAAACGGAGAUUCAAGUUGGGGUUUUGUAAGGCUCAUAUCUGUCAAAGCAUAGAGAAUCAGUUGACUUUUAAGGUGUCUCUGGAAAGCUCAUAUUGUCAAGAAUGCACAGCAUGUGACGAAGAUUAAAUAGAGGUUAUAUUCAAGAAGUUAUGAAUGUUUCUUUCUAGCAAAGUAACUGCACAAACUGUCCAAAUCUGUGCCAAGUACGAACCAGAAAAUAGUUCUGAGAUGGGUGAUUGAGGGCAACGUUUGGAGGUCGAAACAAUGUCUGAUCGGGACGAAAUUUGGUGGAGAGCUUUAUGGUACUAAUGGAUAGAUAAUCAACGGUGGGAUUGCGUUUAUAACGGUUAUUUAUUGACUUAUGCAUAUAUUUCCGAGACAGAUUUGUGUGAAGUAAAUUGUGACGAGUUUAUGUUGUUGGUUGGGUAAACGAGCUUGGUUUGAGCUGAAGCUUUUUAGGAGCUUUCAUGACUCUUGGAGUAAGGUCUUGGUUGGUGUAGAGCUAAGAAGCAUGUGGUUUUAGUUAAGACAUUAAGUUUUUCUAAAGGAGAAAGGAGUCAAGAAAUGUUAUUCAUCUUCACCUAGGCUAGGGUGAGGGUGGUAUUUGCGAAGCAUACUAUCAUUUUCUUUUGUUAUGCUUCUUGACGCAUGAUAUGUAGGCUUAGAUUUGAUUGUAUAGGAUAAGAUUAUGUGAAGAUCUGUGACUUGAUGAUUGUUGACUUUGAUAUGUGUUAGUAUGAUGUUUGAUAAGGUGAUGUUAUGUAUGAGAAUGUUAAAUAUGAUUAUGAGUAUGUAUGAAUGAUGGAGAGUGAUGGACCGACGGGUUAACAGCUGCUCAAGAACAGUUGACGAGCCCGGAAUGGGAGUGUCUGAGCCACGAGGGCCACCCUCCACUCAGGAGGUUCUAGUUGUCACGAGGAUGACUGGACCUAACGAUGUAUAUGUAUGGUUAUGUGAUUAAGAUGAAUGUCAUGAAUGUUGUUAUGUUUAGCAAGUAAAGAAUGUUAUGUGAUUGCUAGUGUCUAAGUUUAUAUGUUAUGAUUAUGGUUGCAUAGCUUAAGAAAGUGUUUUAUGUUUUAGUGGGCAGAGUUGAUUCCCCUCACUGAGUAUUCUUUACUCACCCUUUUUUUCCCUUUUUCCUCAGGUGAAUCAGCUUCAUGAGUUGUUGUGCAAUGUUUUGUUCGUGGGUGAAGUUUAAAGAAAAUGUUUUGGCAAGAUCGGAUAAAUAACAUGCUGUCUUGGCCUGGAUGGAGGGACAGGUGUUACAGAAAGAACAAGAUCUUGAAUUUGGUUUCUUUCGAUAGAUCUUGCUGCAUGGAAUAAGAAGUAACGUUUUGUUUCACGACCCAGGGUAAGAUCCACCCGCAAAUCGACAGUAGCUAGCCACGCACCUGAGCCUGCACGAACAUGUUAAUUAAUAUGUUAGCUUUGAUCCCUUGAUUAUGUAAGUUGUUGUUAAGAUCUUCCUGCUUUGAGUGUGAAAAUAAGAUUAGUGUUUGUGCGCUAAAGUUCGAUGGGCAUUGACAAGUUAUCAAUUCUUUUAAGUAGUCAUCAGAGUAGUGCAACAGAAAGAUACAUUUACUUACGAAGGUAAGUGACGGUUUCAAGUAAAUAAGUAAGUGAGAAGUUCUGUAGACGGAUAAUUGUUGUUUAUGUAGCAUUGUGUGGUCGGGGGAGUACACAGAGUUGCAAGAAAAUGUAAAGUAAGCGAGUUCAUAUGAAAAGAAAUCACCGUUGAGAAUUCGAGGACGAAUUCUAUUUAAGUGGAGGAGUAUUGUUACAACCCCCUCCCAUAUUAUUGGGUCAAUUUGUUUUGACAUAAUGAUACAAGCCCAAUAGCUUCCUAAACAACUAGGGUUGGGUGUUUGUAUGUGGUCAUAUAUAUGUAGAAGCGUAAACAUCUCCCUCUUCAUUAGAAACGCCGUCAAGAGAAGAAUAGAGAGAGAGAGAGACAGAGAUAGACAGAGAGAGAGAGAAAAGAGAAUUAUGGCAAAGGCAACGUGAUCAACACCGGAGCUUCACGUAGUCAUCGUCGUUCACUUCCCCCACCGGAGCCGAGAUCCAUCGCACUAGUUUGUUUGGAAGAAGAGAAAACUGUGGCAAGUAAGGGUUUUGUGGAUUGAUUUCCCGUUGAAGCUAAAAGAGUUAUAUUGAUAUAUUGACCUCUCUGAAUCGAUCUCGUUGCAAGGAAGCCAUAGCAAUUGACGGUUUGUCAAACGGAGUUAUAUUCCAUUCAGCAUUUGUCUUGUAAGUUGAUGAAAAGUCACUUGUUCUGAAUUCUGGAAAACCUAAGUUAUUUCAGAUAAAAUUUCAGAUUCAAGUUGGGGUUUUGUAAGGCUCAUAUCUGUCAAAGCAAAGAGAAUCAGUUGACGUUUAAGGUGUCUCUGGAAAGCUCAUAUUGUCAAGAAUGCACAACAUGUGACGAAGAUUAAAUAGAGGUUAUAUUCAAGAAGUUAUGAAUGUUUCUUUCUGGCAAAGUAAUUGCAGAAACUGUCCAAAUCUGUGCCAAGUAUGAACCAGAAAACAGUUCCGAGAUGGGUGAUUGAUGGCAACGUUUGGAGGUCGAAAUAAUGUCUGAUCGGGACGAAAUUUGGUGGAGAGCUUUAUGGUACUACUGGAUAGAUAAUCAACGGUGGGAUUGCGUUUACAACGGUUAGUUCUUGACUUAUGCAUAUGUUUCCGAGACAUAUUUGUGUGAAGUAAAUUGUGACGAGUUUGUGUUGUUGGUUGGGUAAACGAGCUCGGUUUGAGCUGAAGCUUUGUAGGAGCUUUCAUGACUCUUGGAGUAAGGUCUUGGUUGUUGUAGAACUAAGGAACAUGUGGUUGCAGUUAAGACAUUAAGUUUGUCUAAAGGAGAAAGGAGUCGAGAAAUGUUAUUCAUCUUCAACUAGGCUAAUGUGAGGGUGGUAUUUGCGAAGCAUAGUAUCAUUUUCUUUUGUUAUGCUUCUUGACGCAUGAUAUGUAGGCUUAGAUCUGAUUGUAUAUGAUAAGAUUUUGUGAUGAUAUGUGACUUGAUGAUUUAGGGUUUAUAUUUUCAUGGUGUUAUUUGAGAUUUAGGGUUUAUAUUUUCAUUAUGCAGACAUGGUUUUCUUUU